CUCUGAGUGACACGAGAGAGAAAAAGAGAGAGAGAGCGCUCUGUUCCAAACGGAAGUUAGGGCAGAUGGGGCUAGACAAUAGCUCCACUGAGAAGUGACAACCACAGAAUCACGCCCUAGUUUCUCUGAAAACGACCAAAGCCUCUGCAGAGUCGGUUUUGAAAGAAGCUGAAUCUCUGCACUCUCUCACCCUCUCUGAACUCUUCUUCAUCCUCUUCCACUCCGUGCCAUCUGCUUGCUGUGAGUAUGUCUAAUUUUUCUGGGGUGUUUUUUUCUGUUCACGGAUGGUUGUUUCAGGUUUGACGAAGCCUCUUGGCAGAAAGUCUCUGGACUUUGCGCACAUUACUAGUAGGGGCUGCGGAUUUUGGAACUUACAACCGAAGGAGAUCAUCUUUAAAGUGCAUUUUACCAAGAAUAUUGUGAAAGAUGACAUAAGAGAAGAUGCCAUCAGUUGAGCCACAUAAAGAUAUAAAGAUAUGGAGGAAAGUCACCAGCGAGAUCAGCGAUUUACCAGAUUCGAUGGGGGAUCGUACAAUUAAAAAGUCCCAAUCGGAACCAAGUUUUGGAAACCAACCUCCUCAAAUUCCAGAGCGUUUUAAGAGUGUGGGAGCAAGGAAGCAACAUGAAAUCAUCCACGAUGAUGUUCCAACCACGGACAUAGCUCCAAUGAGUGAUGUUGAUCAGGCUAGAUCGGCAUCCUUGGCAGCUGAUAAUAGUUCUAUAAUCAUCGACAUCGAUGAUUAGACUCCCACAGUUGUAUAUGUUCAGGUCUCGAACACAACUCCACUGAGAUGUUGAUCUGAGUGGAUCAGCACCCUCACCACCAACCAACAGUUGUGAAACCACGGAACUCGGAGAUCAAACCCCACCGGUUGGACCUCCCGAGGAUAAUGAUGAUCUAGAUGGAUCACAAAGUAAUAUUGAUCUGAGUGGAUCAGCAGCUUUACCACUGGUGAACAGAUCUGAAAUCACGGAACUCAAAGAUCAAAUCCCACCGGUUGGACCUCCCGAGGGUAAUGAAAAUUAACUU